rnacentral:tRNA from 1 species
GGAACAUAGCUCAGUUGGUAGAGUGCUUGCCUCUUAUGCACAAGGCCCUGGGUUCAAUCCCCAGCACCA